AGGAUAAACGCUGGCGGCGUGCAUGAGACAUGCAAGUCGAACGGACGAUCGGGGGCUUGCUCUGAUCGUUAGUGGCGGACGGCUGAGUAACGCGUAGGUGACCUGCCCCGAAGUGGGGGAUAACUGCCCGAAAGGGUGGCUAAUACCGCAUGCGGUGGUUCGUUCAAUCGAUCCAUCAAAGCAGCAAUGCGCUUCGGGAGGGGCCUGCGUCCGAUUAGCUCGUUGGUGGGUAACGGCUCACCAAGGCGACGAUCGGUAGGUGGUCUGAGAGGACGAUCACCCAGACUGGGACUGAGACACGGCCAGACUCCUACGGGAGGGCAGCAGUCGGGAAUUUUGCGCAAUGGGACGAAAAGCCUGACGACACGACAACGCCGCGUGGAGGG
rnacentral:rRNA from 1 species